UACAGAGGGUGCGAGCGUUUAAUCGGAAUUACUGGGCGUAAAGCGCGCGUAGGCGGCUUUGCAAGUCGGGUGUGAAAUCCCCAGGCUUAACCUGGGGAACUGCACUCGAGACUGCAUUGCUAGAGUAUGGGAGAGGGAAGUGGAAUUUCCGGUGUAGCGGUGAAAUGCGUAGAUAUCGGAAGGAACAUCAGUGGCGAAAGCGACUUCCUGGACCAAUACUGACGCUCAUGUGCGAAAGCGUGGGGAGCAAACAGG
rnacentral:rRNA from 1 species